UUUAUAUGCCAAUAUAAUGCAGACGGAUCCGUUCUGAACGGAGCCUCCGUCUGCAUUAAUAUGAUCGGAUCCGUUCAGAACAGAUCCGAUCGAACGCUAGUGAGAAAGUAGCCUUAAGCUGUUUAAGGAGUUGUUCAAUUUUACAAUAUUGAUGACCUGUCCUCAUUAGUAUCAGAUUAGUGGGAGUCUGACUCUUGGAACCCCCACGAUCAGCUGCGUCCUCUUCGGGGUUUACCUAGAAAUUUCCAAUGCACCAAAUUCCAGGUCAAGUUAUGCUUGUGCGUGUGAGCAUAUCCUCAAAUGCAUAAUCAUAUUGUAUAGAUAUUUAUGACUUGUAACCUUGGAAACUCUCCCUCAAUGUGAAGGGGUAACUGUUACCUAAGCAUCACAGUACCACUACAAAAGUCAAUUAAAUGUGUAUAUCAAUCAAUUAUAUACCUAGAUGCAGUGCUUAUUUGUGGAGAAAGUCAAAUGCCCAAUUAACAAAGCAGUCUGGCUAUAGACCCUUAUUUUCUAAAACCACCUCUGUGGUAUAACAAGACAUAGAUUGGGGCAAAUAUUAGGAAAUGGACACUUGCCUGUUACAUACUGAGGUCUGUGUGCAUAUUUUCUUAGUUCUUGUAUUGCUCAUACAAAUCUGUAUCUUUAUACAUAGCAAUAAUGAAAUAAUUGAGAAACUGUAUAUUGCACUUAUUAAAGUAUACAAUGUUUCAGGAGCAUCGUGUAAUUUUAUAACCUUUUCUGUCAAGGCAAGCUGAAAAAUUCCAACUAGGAGUAAACAUGUAAAUAUAUUAUGACUGUACAAACUAUUUCAUUACAUUUAAAAUAAGCUCAGUUUGAUCCAUUGUAUUGCAUUUUACUUGGGCUUUGUCAUGGCUUCAGGUGACUGCAAGGUUUUAUAACCAGUUGAUUAUUGAUGCCCACCAAAUUAAGAAGGGGCCACUUGUAUAGUUUCUUCCUAUUGAACUCAUUGCAUGUGGUUUCUGCAACUUCCAUUCAUUUCAAUAGCAAGAGAUUGCUUGUACAUCGCCUGCUCGACUAUUAUUAAAGGAGUUUUCCGUUAGUUUUACACUGAUGACCUAUCCUUAUUGGUGGGGGUCCGACACAUAACUGUUUAAGAAGGCAUUGGUGCUCGCAGAAGCACUAUGGCCUUCUCCAGCUUUGCCAUGUGACAUGUUCAUCAGUCUCAUAGCUCAGCUGCGAUACCAAGCAUAGCCACUAUACAAUGUAUGGCACUGUGAUUGGUUUGCUGAGAGAAGGCUGCAGCGCUACUGCUAGCGCUGGUGUCUUCUCAAACAACUGAUCCCCGGGGGUCAGUAUAAAACUCUCUGGAAACCCCUUUAAUUAAGAGACUGAUUCUUGAGAUCAUUAGGGUCUCAGUGGAUGGUCCCUAUAGAUCAGUAAUUGCUGAAGCCAGUCAUUGGCAGCAGUGGUACACAAGACCAUGUCUAUGCCCCGGUUGGAAGAAAACAAGCUGGGACUGGAAGAUGAAGGUAAGGGAACCAGCACAGCAGACUGGAGCAGCAUGUAGCAGAUAAGUAUGAAUCCGGAGGCGAUGCAGAGCAGACGCCUUGCCUUGAUAGUUAAUAUUCCCAGAAAAAAAACAAUUAAGGGGUAUUCCCAUCUCAAACAUUAAUGGCAUAUCGAUAUGAUACGCCAUCAAUGUCAGAUAGGUGCAGGUCCCACUAGGGUUAUAGGGAUAUGCCAUCAAUACUUAACAUUGGUAUAAACCCUUUAGGUAUAGAUCAUUAAACCUAUUUUCUUUCGUUGGGGGGCUUUAAAGAGCAUGAGCUAUAGAUGUUUACAUGUUAACACAUACAUUAGUGUGGUUCCAGAGGUCUAUGCUUGGGUCAUAUUUUCACAGGAUAUAUUGCAAGCUUUUAGUAUAUUUGUUCAGUUGAGGCCCUUAUGUAUCAAAAAGGAUCCAAAGAAAUAGUUUUGCAGUUCAGCUGGGUAGAUAUCAGGUUUCACUGGUUACUCUGGGCAAAAUGGAUACUGAACUCAUGGAAAUUGGAAAGUUUUAUUUGAUUAAUUUCUAUUAUUAUCUAACAAAUAUUACUGUUGGUGAAUACAGUAUUUAGAAUACUACAAAGUAAAUAUUAGCAACAACCCACACUAUGAUUUAGACUGAAUUCGCAAGGCCAUAAUAUGUUCACAAUUUAGCCUCUGCAUUACUACCACAACACCCAAUCUCUGCUGAACCCUGUGGGAUACAGGUAUGGCUGUAAUAUAACUGCUAUAAUACUCCCAUACUGUGGUCAUGUUAAAUGAGCCUCAUAAUUAUGUCCUCCUUCACACAGCCUUUUUUUUUUUUUCAAGCUUUUUAAUUUAAUUUUUAUGUAGUGUUAUCUAAAAACGUGAAUUUUUUUUUCUUGCCUUUUUUAAGUCCUUUAGGAAAGUCUAUGGGUAAAAUGCCAGAAGAGGAAAAAAAAAAAAAAACCUCGCAGCAAAAAAAAGUCAAAAUGACAAAAACACAACAAACUAAAUCUCUUUGUAUGUAGAAUGUUAACACAGUGACAUCUUCCGGCAGAAUCUCUGAGCUAAAACAAAAAUGCUGUGAAAACCCCGCACAACGAUGUUUCUUUCUUAAUGUUACAGAAACCGGAAGUCUAGUUUUGGAAACCAAAGUCAUUUUUCCUCUUUUGUGUGCUUCACUUAACUCUCGCUGUACCUCAUUUGUUUUGAUGGUUUAUAGAGUGAUUCGUGAGCGGUUUUCACUUGUAGAUAUUUUCAGGAAGAGCUAAUGUCUAUUUUUAUGCAAUACAAUCAGAUUACACAUAUAUUUAUAAGAUUUGCUGGUUUAUAAGUUUAUGGCUUCUUUGUAAUGCAAUUAUGUUAAAUUCUUAUUAUAUGUUUUAAGUCUGUAUUACUGCCUUUAAUAAAAGCUGACAUUUCAA